CUAUUGGGGUGAGCUUUCAUCCUGUUCCAGAGUUGCGAUGGGCCUGGAAGGAGUCAGCCAGCCAGCUUGCUUUACCCCACUCUGAACUGCUAGAUGGAAGAUUUCCUUCUUCAAGCAGCCUUUCUGGCGAUACUGAGAUUCAUCUCUCCAGGGUGAAACCCAAACCCCCAGAGACACCAGAAAGAAGAGACCACAAACCUUGCAUACCUGGGAACCAGUGGACAACCUCAAGUUUCUUUUCAGGAAAAAAAAAAAAAUCCAGCCAACCGGUAGAACCAGGUAAGUAAAACAUUUUGUUCUAAGUAAACUGUGUAGCUAGUGCACUACUCUCUUUUUUGCUACACUGAAGGUCUUGUCCUAAGACAAAAAACAAAACAAAAACAGAACGUUAAAGCCAAUCACAUCUUUCUUCUAUCAUCAACAAUUACCUAGGC
rnacentral:lncRNA from 1 species